rnacentral:rRNA from 1 species
GGUAUCAGAAGUGCGAAUGCUGACAUAAGUAACGAUAAAGCGGGUGAAAAGCCCGCUCGCCGGAAGACCAAGGGUUCCUGUCCAACGUUAAUCGGGGCAGGGUGAGUCGACCCCUAAGGCGAGGCCGAAAGGCGUAGUCGAUGGGAAACGGGUUAAUAUUCCCGUACUUGGUGUUACUGCGAAGGGGGGACGGAGAAGGCUAUGUUGGCCGGGCGACGGUUGUCCCGGUUUAAGCGUGUAGGUGUGUGUUCCAGGUAAAUCCGGUUCACUUUAACACUGAGGCGUGACGACGAGGCACUACGGUGCUGAAGCAACAAAUGCCCUGCUUCCAGGAAAAGCCUCUAAGCAUCAGGUAACAUCAAAUCGUACCCCAAACCGACACAGGUGGUCAGGUAGAGAAUACCAAGGCGCUUGAGAGAACUCGGGUGAAGGAACUAGGCAAAAUGGUGCCGUAACUUCGGGAGAAGGCACGCUGACAUGUAGGUGAAGUGAUUUACUCAUGGAGCUGAAGUCAGUCGAAGAUACCAGCUGGCUGCAACUGUUUAUUAAAAACACAGCACUGUGCAAACACGAAAGUGGACGUAUACGGUGUGACGCCUGCCCGGUGCCGGAAGGUUAAUUGAUGGGGUCAGCGCAAGCGAAGCUCCUGAUCGAAGCCCCGGUAAACGGCGGCCGUAACUAUAACGGUCCUAAGGUAGCGAAAUUCCUUGUCGGGUAAGUUCCGACCUGCACGAAUGGCGUAAUGAUGGCCAGGCUGUCUCCACCCGAGACUCAGUGAAAUUGAACUCGCUGUGAAGAUGCAGUGUACCCGCGGCAAGACGGAAAGACCCCGUGAACCUUUACUAUAGCUUGACACUGAACAUUGAGCCUUGAUGUGUAGGAUAGGUGGGAGGCUUUGAAGUGUGGACGCCAGUCUGCAUGGAGCCGACCUUGAAAUACCACCCUUUAAUGUUUGAUGUUCUAACGUGGACCCGUUAUCCGGGUUGCGGACAGUGUCUGGUGGGUAGUUUGACUGGGGCGGUCUCCUCCUAAAGAGUAACGGAGGAGCACGAAGGUUGGCUAAUCCUGGUCGGACAUCAGGAGGUUAGUGCAAUGGCAUAAGCCAGCUUGACUGCGAGCGUGACGGCGCGAGCAGGUGCGAAAGCAGGUCAUAGUGAUCCGGUGGUUCUGAAUGGAAGGGCCAUCGCUCAACGGAUAAAAGGUACUCCGGGGAUAACAGGCUGAUACCGCCCAAGAGUUCAUAUCGACGGCGGUGUUUGGCACCUCGAUGUCGGCUCAUCACAUCCUGGGGCUGAAGUAGGUCCCAAGGGUAUGGCUGUUCGCCAUUUAAAGUGGUACGCGAGCUGGGUUUAGAACGUCGUGAGACAGUUCGGUCCCUAUCUGCCGUGGGCGCUGGAGAACUGAGGGGGGCUGCUCCUAGUACGAGAGGACCGGAGUGGACGCAUCACUGGUGUUCGGGUUGUCAUGCCAAUGGCACUGCCCGGUAGCUAAAUGCGGAAGAGAUAAGUGCUGAAAGCAUCUAAGCACGAAACUUGCCCCGAGAUGAGUUCUCCCUGAGACUUAGAGUCUCCUGAAGGAACGUUGAAGACGACGACGUUGAUAGGCCGGGUGUGUAAGCGCAGCGAUGCGUUGAGCUAACCGGUACUAAUGAACCGUGAGGCUUAACCUUACAACGCCGAAG